rnacentral:rRNA from 1 species
UACGUAGGGACCGAGCGUUGUCCGGAUUCAUUGGGCGUAAAGAGCUCGUGGGCGGCUGCUCAAGUCGAAUGUGAAAACUCGAGGCUCAACCUCGAGCCUGCAUUCGAUACUGGGCGGCUAGAGUCUGGUAGGGGGAUCUGGAAUUCCUGGUGUAGCGGUGGAAUGCGCAGAUAUCAGGAGGAACACCGGUGGCGAAGGCGGGAUCCUGGGCCAGUACUGACGCUGAGGAGCGAAAGCGUGGGGAGCGAACAGG